CAGAUACAACACAAAUGUUCCAGUUAGAAGAAGGAAUUCAAACGGAAUGCCAAGGUCCAAGCCAGGCUCAGGAAACUAAAAGGGAGGAUUGGAGCAACGGAUAAGCUGACUCCAGGAAAGUAUCCACUUUGCAAUUUAAUGGGAAUUGAUCUUGAAAAUCAUGGAGCGAGAACUCGUGACUACAGCUAAAGAACGAAGAGAAAGGGAGCUGGAAGAGCCUUGAAAGUUUCUAUUACAAAUAGAG
rnacentral:lncRNA from 1 species